rnacentral:rRNA from 1 species
AUUGAACGCUGGCGGCAGGCCUAACACAUGCAAGUCGAGCGGAUGAGAAGAGCUUGCUCUUCGAUUCAGCGGCGGACGGGUGAGUAAUGCCUAGGAAUCUGCCUGGUAGUGGGGGACAACGUUUCGAAAGGAACGCUAAUACCGCAUACGUCCUACGGGAGAGAGCAGGGGACCUUCGGGCCUUGCGCUAUCAGAUGAGCCUAGGUCGGAUUAGCUUGUUGGUGAGGUAAUGGCUCACCAAGGCGACGAUCCGUAACUGGUCUGAGAGGAUGAUCAGUCACACUGGAACUGAGACACGGUCCAGACUCCUACGGGAGGCAGCAGUGGGGAAUAUUGGACAAUGGGCGAAAGCCUGAUCCAGCCAUGCCGCGUGUGUGAAGAAGGUCUUCGGAUUGUAAAGCACUUUAAGUUGGGAGGAAGGGCAGCCAGCGAAUACCUGGUUGUUUUGACGUUACCGACAGAAUAAGCACCGGCUAACUCUGUGCCAGCAGCCGCAGUAAAAC